rfam:Bombyx mori DNA, contig: Bm_scaf139_contig39676, strain: p50T/Dazao, build 2, whole genome shotgun sequence.
UUAAGUCAAAUUUGUAUGGAGUUGGAACGUUUGCUUACGUUUGGCGCUAGGGGCCCUGUUCCAGCUGCAUACAAAUUUGAGUUA